UUGAGAGAGUACCCAGUUGUCAUCUUGAGAGACUUCCCAUACAACAUAUCCCAGGAGGGCCUUCUCCUUGGCAUAAGAAACCUUAGUUCUAACAACAUCAACACCAUCAAAACUAAUCCAAGUUGACCCUACGAUGCCGUAAUUUACCACAUAAGUGGAAUUGUAGAUAGGAUCAACUCUUCCGUUUGCUUUGAAAUAAUUAUUGAUAACUUUAUAGCUCAUGGAUCCAUCUUCUGUAACGGCUGGUCCAGUUGCUGGUGCGCCAAUGGCAUUUUCAUUCGGGCUUGCAAGUUUCCACGCAUAACCAUAGAAAGGCAAACCUAAAACCAACUUACUAGCCGGUAAUCCUCCAUUAAUCCAUGCUCUUAUUCCAAAAUCAGUGUUAACAUCACUAUCAGGAUCAUACAAAGCUGCAAAAGCAGCCGUGAAGUUAGCCCAUGUAGGCAUGAAGUAGUCAAAAGCCAGCACAUGAGUCCAAUUCAAAUUCUUCCGUAUAGAGUCUAUAGGGAAACUCCCGGAAUCCAGUCUUGGCGAGUACUGAACGGCUGCUGUCAGGAUGAGUUCUGACAGGCUAGAGUUUCUUCCCUCCAAAGCAAUAGCAGCACGCCACUCUUCGAAGAGGGUACCCAUACUGUCCAUGUUAUCGCUUGUGCUGGCCGAAACCCAGCUGAAGUCUAGCCCUUGAAAGCCAUAAUGCCUCGCUAUUUUUAUUGAGUCAUCUAUGAAAAACUUCCUGUAAGUAGAAUUGCCUGCCAUUGCAGAGAGUGUUGAAUAGUUUGUGCUUCCUCCUCCAAUGGAUAGUAAGGUAGUGAUCGAUGGAUUCUUCUGUUUUACGGUGUUUGUGAAGGCAGAGAAGAGUGGGUCAUCUGAGGAGGAGAUAGACAGGUGAUACGAAGAUGAAUUAAGGCCAGCAAAAGCACAAAUAAGGUGAGUAUAGAGGGUAGAAUUUAUGUCAGAAAUUGGGAGGUCACUGCCAGAAAACCAAUAGCCAGCUUUGAUCCAUGCUUGUGCUUUUGCAGGAUGCAAUUUUAAAGAGAGAAAUACAUGAAAGAGGAUGAUGAUAGUAAUUCUCGAUACCAUUGGAGCUUGCUUGAUAAAAAUACAAGGAAGGCAAAUGUACAAAGACAAAAGCAUGUAAAUGUUCCAGUCAGGACUCGGUUCUCAGUGCCACCGUUACCGCGUUCCCGUAUGUCACGGUUCCGCCAUGCUUUUUUAUUUUAUUUUUUAAAAACAUUUAAAUUAGUAUUUUUUUAAAUGUUUUUUAAUUGUCUUAAUUUAUUGAUUUCAAUAAUAAAAACAUUUUUAAAAAAAAAUAUUAUUUUAAUAUAUUUUAAAAUAAAAAAUAUUUUAAAAAAUAAUAUUUACUAAACUAUCAAACUUGCUUUAAACUAGACUCCAUUAAAACUUUGUAUUUUCUAUUUUAAAAAAUAAAAUAAUUUUAGUUUUAUUUUAAAAUAAAAAUUUUAAAAAAUGUUGUUAACUCAAAUGAAACUUAAUUAAGACACCUCAAUCGUUACCAAAUCGUUUUAGAAACUUGAAAUUGUAAUAACGGUGAUAGUUUAAAAUAUUUUUUGUUUAAAAAUAUAUCAAAAUAAAAAAAAAUAUUUUUUAAAAAAUAUUUUUGACAUUAGUAUAUUAAAAUAAUUUUAAAAAAUAUAAAAAAAAAUUUAAAUAUAAAUAAUUUUAAAAAUAUAGGUGUAUUCAGGAUGCAAUUUCAAUUUUAAAAUAUAAUUUCGAUAGAAAUAAUAGUUUUUCAAAAAUGUAUUAAUGAUAAUAAUAUUUUUUAAUUUUACCCUUCAAAUUAAAUCUAUGGUUGCUUUUCAAUAUUGAUAAUAAUAUUUUUCAAAUUUAUUGAUUAUUUUAUUAAUAAUAUUAUUUAAAAUACAAAUAAAAAUGUUUUUAAUAAUAAAAAUAAGAAUAUUUAUAGAACAAAUAAUAAUAUUUUUUAUAUUAAUACUUUUAAUUAUAAUACAAAUAAUAAUAUUUAGAAAUUUAAGACUCAAGAACCUUGGAUCCUAACACUGCACCCAAGAGAAUUGAAUCUUGAUGCAGGACCCAUUAGUCUUAGGUCGUGACAACAGACCCAACAGAAUUAGAUCCUGACAAUGAAUCCAAGAGAAUUAGGUCCUGAAAAAGCACAUAAGAGAAUUGUGUACCGCGAUCGUGGCUGCAGACCCAAGGUGCAUGGGUCUUGUCAUAAUGACCAAUGCAUGGUAACCCCAGCGCCAGGUGUCUACACCCUCAGGCAUGCUAAGAUACAGGGCCCAACAUUGUUGGGUCCUAAUUUUAAGGCAGGCCUAAAAAAUGUGCGUCCUUCUCGAGGUCGGGCCUAAAAUUGUUGAACGCAACUAGGACCUUCUGCUAAGGCAAGCCCAUAACACAUUAGCUUUAAGUCUUGUAACCAAGCAGGAUCCAAUAACGUUAGGCCUCAUUGUCCUAUUGGAUAUAAGAUCCAUGGCUAUUGGGUUCGGUUGUGUAUCAGCACCCAACACUAUUGGUUCCUACUGGGCACCCAACACUAUUGGUUCCUACUGGGCAGCAAUUCCUACCUCCAGCAGGAAAUUUAAAUUUUAAAAAAUAUGUUGAGAUAAUUUUUUUAUUUUUUAAAAUAUAUUUUUUAUAUCAUCAAAUACAAAUAAUACAAAAACAUCAAAAAAAUAUUAAUUUAAAUUAAAUAAAAAUGUUAAAAAAUUGAAAAAACUUUAAGCAUUUUUUAAUCGAAAAAACAAACAUUCUUUAAUAAAAAAAUUCAACCCAACCUGAAAUGAAAAACAAUUAUCAUAACCCAUCUUUUGCACAAUAUAAAAAAAAGUCUCAUUAAUUUAUUUCUUCUUUACCGUAUGAAAAAUAAAAUUAAAUCAGAGAAAAGAGAAGAAACCUUAGACCCAGUUAUAUUGGAAAUAUCCUAAAAUAUUUUUUAAAAAAAACAUGUAUUGAGAUGAUAUUUUUUUUUUGUAAAAUCUAUUUUUUAUAUCAUCACAUCAAAAUAAUACAAAAACAUCCAAAAAUAUUUAUUUGAAGUAAAGAAAAAAAAUACCAAAUUCUUUUUAAAUAUUUUUUGAAAAGCAAAAACAAACAUGUUUUAAUAAAAAACUUCAACCCAACCUCAAAUGAAAACUAUUAUCACCAGCCAACUUUUGUACAAUAUCAAAAAAGUCUCAUCAAUUUAUUUCCUCUUUACAGCAUGGAAAAAAAAUUAAAUAAGAAAAAUAAUUUAAAGAUAAAAAAAAUAAAAUUGAAAAUAUCUUAAAGAUGAAAAAAAAUUGGAAAUCCUAAACCCAAUGAUAUUGCCAAGCCAGACCCAAUAUAUGAAAAAACAAAUUAGAAAUAUCUUAAAAUAUUUUUGUAAGAAAAUAUAAUGAAAUAAUAUUUUUUAUUUUGUAAAAUCUAUUUUUUUAUAUCUUCACAUAAAAAUAAAAAAAAACAUCAAAAAAAUAUUAAUUUGAAUUAAAGAAAAAGGUUAAAAAUUUUGAAAUGUUUUUUUAAGCAUUUUUUAAACGAAAAAACAAACUUGUUUUAAUAAGGAAGUUUAACCCUACCUUAAAUGAAAAAAAAUUAUCAUCACCUAACUUUUGUACAAUAUAAAAAAUAUCUCACCAAUUUUAUUUUUUUUACCAUAUGAAAAAAAAAAUUAGAGAAAAAAAAAUCACAAACUAAAUAUCCUUGGGUAUGGUUGCGCAGCCACACCCAAGGAUAUUGGGUCCGGCUGCCCAACCAGGCCCAAGAUUGAUAUAUCUUUUGGAAUUGAUUUGGGUCCAGCUGGCCAACCAGACCCAACAUUAUUAUGUUAUAUUAGGCAAGAAGAUCCAAUGUUAUUGACACCUUUUGGAAGUGUUUUGGGUCUAGCUUAGUAGCUGGUUGUAGGGUCCAGCGGCCAAGUCAUACCCAACAACUUUUGGUAGAGAAGGUAAUGCCCCUAGCCGUAAUUCUUAACUAAAAAUGCAACUUCUUGACCAUUUAGAGUGCUAUAGUGUCGUCUGCAGUACAAUGUAUUUGUAUCCACAAUAAAUGCAUAAUACCCCCCCCCCCCGUGUUUUAAUACAUAGCAAAACCCAAACAAUGCAAUACACAAUGAAAUCACUCACAAUCUACAAUAAUUCACUAAUCUUUUUUAGGUUUUUUUAUAAUAUGAACACAUGUAAGUUGUGUGUGGAAAUUUAUGCUAUUUGAUUUUGCUAGUAUCAUAUCAGACCUAAUAAAGCUAUAAAGAUCACAGGGAAUAUUAUAGAAGAAAUUAUUUCUAGAGAUCCCUGUAGAUCAUUCAUAAUGUAUUCUACGACCUUCACUUUUCAGAUUGUAUCAGCUUCCUCUUUAAUAAAUAUCUUAUGGGGUUGUAAAUCUUCUCUUAAAUGAAUGCUUGCACAAAGUCUUUUAGAGAUCCCUAACGGUGUUGUUAGAAGACCCUUCAAAGAUCAAGUCAGUACGAUGUAUUUUGUAUGAUAAAAAGAUAUUAGUAAAGGUAUUAAUGAGCUUUUGUAAAGAUAGAAAAGAAAAAGGAGAAGAAGAUGUAGAUGUAAGGGAAGAAGAGAAUAAAUGUGUUCAUGUCUAAGAGCAUAAGGUUUCGAACCUCUUUUUUGUGUACUCAAGCUUCCUUUUAUACUACAUGUCUUGACUUGCUUCAUACGAUAUGUUAGGGGUAGAAAUGUAAUCUCGUAAUGAUAGAAUAAUAUUAUUAUAUUGUUGAAACUAUCACAUCUCAUUAAUAUAAGCAUGAACUACUUGUUCAUAAUUAAUUGGAUGUGAUGAGUAUCAUAAUCACUAGCCCAAACCUAGAGUAAGGGAGGCUUAGAGUGAUGUUACUUUUCAGCUAUACACUAAACUUAGAUGCAUUUGGGUUCAGUUUGUACAUUCAACUCAAGUGUAUUCGGGUUCAGCAGUACGCCAAAUUCAAUAGGAGUUGGGCUCAGCAUGACGUUGAACCCAAGAGGAAUUGGAUUCAGCGGUACGACGAUCUCAAUAGGAGUUGGGUUCAGCUUUAACCCGAACCCAAGAGAAAUUGGGUCCAAUUAUACACUGAACCCAAGAGGAAUUAGGCGCAUACAUGCCUCAUCCCAACUAGAGUUGGGCGUGAACUUGUCCUAACUCAACUUAGAGUUGGACGUGGAUGCAUCCGGGCCCAACUUUAAGUUAGGCAUGAACAUGUCACAGCUCAAUUUAGAGUUGAAGCUAAACGUAUUCUGCUCCAAUACAAGAUUGGGUGUAGAGAAAACAUAACUUAAUUUUAUAUUCAGAUUUUCAUGUGAUGUGAUGGUGGGAGGUUUUUAGAAAACCAUGACCCAUCAAGCCAUAGAGACCAAACAGCACGGCUGAGAGAAAAAGGCAGGCAAUUACGUGGAGAUGGAGUGUGGGGGCCAGGGUCAUAUCAAUUGCAAUUACUUCUUGGUAGGUUUUGUUUUGUUUCUUCAGAUUUCUAGAUUCAACAUUAAAGGUUCUUAUAAGAAAACAUUGCCAGCCCUCUUGUUUUCUUGGUCUAGCUUGGGCUAAAUGUCAAGGAAAGGGGUAGCUGUCUCCCUUAAUUUCUAGACUCAACAUUAAACGUUCUUUUAUAUAUAUAUAUAUAUAUAUAUAUAUAAAAGUCCUAAUUUGGCCCCUUUCAUUGUUCUCCUUUGCAGUUUUCUCAUGAUUUUGAGACAAUUUAAUCGCAAACCAACAUAGAGAUGCAAAAAUAGAAGUGCCCCUAGCUAGAUCAUUUGUAAUUCCAGAAAGGUAAGAAGUUAAAUUUGAAACAGUAAAUCAUUUUAAUUAGUGGCUUAUAUAUCCAUGUUUAAUAACGUACUUAAAUAAUUUUUUAUAAUUAAAUGAAGCCAGGUGAUAUUUUAUAGUACUUUUUUAAAUAAAUAAGUAUUAAUUAUUAAUUGUUUCCAUAAAAAGUAUGAAAUAUUUAUCUUAAAUUAAUUUAUUAUCCUCUAUUUAUAAAUUAGAUGACCACAUGAGAAUUAUUUUUUUUUUUUUUGAAAAAGUGUAGGUUGAAGAAGACUUAAUUUGAUUUGAUCCGACAGAUAUAUGUAACUUUAAACCAUUAAUGUCUUAGAGAUCUACAAAUAUAAUAACUUAAAGUACACAAACUUAUCAUGGCUCAGAUAAUUGCAAUUUUACUACCUGAGACAUUUAUUUUUCUCAUUUCAGUAUAUUGAGUUUUUCAAUUUCACCAAAAAUAGAAUUUUCAAAUUAAAAUUCUUUGGUAAAAAUAAAUUCAAAUUAUGCAGCUCUUUGGUAAGAAGAAGAAGACAGUACUCAAUCAUUCAUUUUUGUCAUUAUCAACACUUAAACCUCCUUGUUGGCCAAUGCAAGAGUUAAUACUAGUUGUUGGCCAAGAAGAAGAUUUUUUUUAAAAUGAGAUGAUCAAAUAUUUUUUUUAAUUUUUUUUAAUUUUUUAUAUAUAUAUAUCUCAUUGUAUGACUAUAUAAACUUUACCUAAUUGAAUGUAAUAUAUAUUAUCAAAUAAUAAUAUCUUUUUUCUAUUUUAAAUUUCUUCUAAUCACAGCUGCAUUUUAUGAUUGCUUAGAGCUAUUGGCAUCAGAUCUUAGCCAUAAUUAUUUUUACUGGAAGUAAUCCAGAAUAUUAGAGCUAUUGGCAUCAGAUCUUGGCCAUAGUUCUAUAAUGGCUGCGUUUUUUUCUUUCAAAUAAGUGACGCAAAUGAGAACAAAAGAAAAAGAAAAACACAAAAAGAAGAAAGAAAGACUUAAAUCAAACUUUGAAAUGUUUACAAAGUUUGAUUUUUGUAUUUUGAGUUGACCUCUAGGAACUUCUAAUUCCAGUCUUUCAAGAUAAGCGACAGGUCAGUUUUUUCUUUUGUAAAUGUUUACAACUCUUUAAAUACAUCAUAAAUCAAACUUUACAAACUUAAAAAAAUCAGAAUCCCAAGUCAAAUAAAAAAUACAAUAUAAAAUCCAGAAUCAAGCUAAAAAUCUAAAAAAAGAAGAAGAAAAUAUAUGGACCAUAGUAACAUAAUUGCCCAGUGGGUAUAGAGUUAUCCCUCCAAAGUUUGUUUCAUCAUCUUCUCAAUUAGCUGACAUCUUUACCAGGCCUCUUGGCAAAGAGGCAUUCUGCUAUAUCCUAGACAAGUUGGGGUCUAUCCAAUCUACAUGCUCCAACUUGAUGGGGAAGUAAUUGGAUUUCUAGAACGGCUACUUCUCUUGAUUCAUGCGGGGGAUCUCGAGCUUUAAUGAGCUUUCCUCACAUGUAAGUCAAUGAUCAUAUCAUCCUGUAAACACCCUUGAUUGUAUACAUCUGGAUUCUUUUCUCUUUUACCUUUGAUACGGGGAUUAUUCCAUGUAAGGAUUGCUAUCUUUACAUAUAAAUAGCUGUUAUAUGAAAUGAAAAUUAAGCCUUUUGGGCUAGCACUUGAUCUAUGAGAACCUACAAUAAAUAUGCAGAAAUUCUUGCCUGGAGAUUCUUGAGCUUCACGAUUCUUGUUCUCCUCUUAUUUUAUUUGCUAAGAGAUCAAGUGAGGAAUCCCGUUAAUUAAUUGUGGCAUCCAAAGAAUGAUAUUGACUUCGAAACAAGUUGGAGAACAAGGAUAAACGACAGUAGGAACUAAAGUUCUGAUGAGGUUACGUCUCAGAAUUUGGCAAUUACAACAGAGCUAGGAAUAUAGUCUUUCCUUUUUGCGCAAGGCUGCUGACUAUACAUCAAACACGAGAAAAACCAUGUUCAUAUUUAUCAUUUUUAUUUUGUUGAGAAUAAAGUUUCAUAUCAAGUAGUUUUAUUAACAAAGAAAUAGCAGUUUCCAACUUUCACCCUUGCCUUUUUGUCUACAUUGGAUCAGCAGAAGCCGUUUUCCUUGACUCCUGCCCGGCAUAAAAAACAUGGAAAUCACAGACCUUCACAAUACCUUUCAUUGUUCGUGCAGGAAAAAAAAAUCUAAAUAGAAAGAAACAAUUUUAACCAAGAAGUUUGACACAUGACCAAGGGUAAGUCACGUACGGUCACCUUGAUAAAAGCAGAGAAAACAGAGAAAUAACCCUUCUCAGUUCUCACCCUACCCUAUCUCUAUCUAACCAAAAAAUCGAGACAGCUUCUUCUUCUUUUUGUAGAAAAUCUUAUUGCACCAUUGCUUAAUGCAUACGGCAAGGAAUAUGAGGCUGAUUGGUCAGAUUAACCAAAUUUGUUUUGUUGCCACGCACAACAUCCUAUUCAAUCUUCGUGGUUUUGUUUUUCCUUGGAGAAGAAAUGCCCUUAAUUUUCCUUUUCUAGUUUGCUACUUUCCUUACGACUAUUCCCUUAAUGUUAUUGAGAUAGAAAGGGAGGGAACUUCUGAGAAGAUAUACAUGCUAUUAUGGUUUCAUAUCUACAAGCUGACUUUUGAAACAAUCAUCGAGACGAGUGCUUUUCCCUAAAUGCUGUUCUGAUAAUUGCGAUUGACACUAAAAUGCAGGUUGAUUCUGCUUUGCAUGAAGUAAAAAUGAGGGCUUCUAUCCAAAGCACUGGGUUCUCAUUCCAACUGUUGUAUACAUCUGGUUGUAAAGCUAUAGUAAAUGAUCUUACAUUGAUGUGAGCUAUGGACCCUUUUUGUUAGCCAACAAUCAUUAAGAUACAAAAGAACAGGAUCUAUCAUAAUAACUUAGAAAGAAUACAUACAAUUAGUUCAACCAGGAAGAAAAAAGGAGAGCUCUUGAGUUCUGUUCAUGAAAGCCUUUACUUCAGCGAGGUUCCAAGUCAGAUAUUGUUGCGUCAUUCACAGAAUAAAUUUUAUUCCUGAGAACACUGUCCUCCUCUUCAUCUCUUUUGGUUGAAAAAGAAGGCCUUUUUGGAGUGGCGAUAGGUGCAUUUUCAUUUUUUAGCAUCGAAGAAAUUUUUAACAUAGAUGGCCUGUCCAAAGGAUUUUCUUGGACGCAUAAUAGAGCAACUUGCAGGCAUCUUGUGAGUUUACAUGAUGAAAAGGAAUCGUCUAGCGAUGGAUCGAAAAACUCCACGCCUUCACCAUCUUUCCAUAAUUCAUAUGCCUGAAACAAUUUGAUAACCAUAUUGGUAUUCAAAUGCGGACUAUGGGAGAAAAAAAGUGAAUUAUGCAUUCAUAUAUUGGAAAAGAUGUGACUGAUCACUUACAUAUUCAAGAAGGUUCCAGUUUUCGUCUGCACCAUAGUAACAUGUACUCCUCUUGCCACUUAUGAUUUGCAGGAGAAGAACUCCAAAGCUGUAAACAUCAUAUUUCAUGGAGUAUAUGCCUUUUCUUACAUAUUCAGGGGGGACAUAACCACUGCAAUUCAAAAAAUAAAUAAGAAUGAGAAGAUUUAGCAAACAGUUCAUGUCGAAAUAUAUACCACUUUGAGACAAUUUCCUUACUAUGUUCCAACUAUCCUGCUUGUGUUUGCUUCGAGUUCAUCUUUCCUGAAGAGCCUAGCCAUACCAAAGUCUGAUAUCUUAGGGUUCAUUUCCUCAUCCAAUAGAACGUUGCUACUCUUUAUGUCUCGAUGAAUAAUGGUAAAAUUUGAGUAUUCUUGGAGAUAUAGAAGCCCUUGAGUAAGACCUUCAAUGAUUGAACGCGUUUUCUCCAAUCUAACAUGUAUCUUCUGACUGGAUCUACAUCGAAGUAGACCUUAAACAAUUAUUCGAGGUACAUUUAGAAGGUUGGCCAAACUAAGCUAGAGAAAAAGAUUCUACUGACCAUAGAUGUAGAAAUCCAAGCUCUUGUUCGGCAUGUACUCGUAGAUCAGCAUCUUUUCUUCCCUCUCGGUGCAAAAUCCCAAAACUGUAACUAUAUUCACAUGUUGAAGUUUUUCUGUAAGUGUGACCUCAUUUUUGAACUCCUCUUCACCUUGAGUCGAAGUUUUUGAUAGUCUCUUCACUGCUAUUUCCUUUCCGUUUGGUAGUUUACCCUGGCAAAGCAAAUGCCUCAAGCUGUCAUGUUUUCGUCCUUUCAAAGUCAUUCAAGACAAUUACUUGCCAAUAUUCUGUACCCUCGACAUCCUUCUUUCGUAUAGAAUAUAAACAUACAGCUUAUAUGUAAUUAGUGUUCUGCAGUGAAAGAAUCAGAACGCAUUUAUAUUUUGCCAAAUUUAUUUACCUUGUAGACAGAGCCAAAUCCACCUACUCCAAGUUUUUUUCACUCGAAAAGUUAUUAGUAGCCGCAGCAAUCGUAUCAAAACUGAGUGCUUGCAGAUUUGGAGCAUCGCUAUUAAUAGCUCUAGUAGCAGAUACUUUGAUUUUCACUGCAGAUAGUGAUUUUUGGACACUCCCAGCAAUUUCUGUUACCAUGAAACAAAUCAAAGAACUAACUGUAUCUUAAUCCUGUUGUAAUAAUUGCUGAACCAACUCAAAAUUUUGGUUAAUAUAUUUGGAAAAUUGUCACAACGGGAAGAUGUUACCUUUUGAGCCGAGUUUUUUCCUUCUAAAGUAACAACAAAUUAUGGUGCCCAACACGAGAAAGACCACAGCAAUCGUAACCAGAAUAGGUACCAAUACCUUCCUCUUGUUCAGCCCAUCUUCAUCUUUUCCCUGAGCUGCGAGCAUUUAUCAUCAUUAAGUAUUGUUUUAUGAUAUCUUUCUAUUGCAGUGAAAGCUCAUUUACUCUAUAAAACACACCUCACAGAACUUAGUAUUGCAGGGGAUGGCAUUUGAUAAUUCAAAAGCAAUUGAAACAUCUCUAGUCCGGUGUUUUUUUUAAAAUAAAGAGGAUAAAAUGGGGGAUCGAAAUUUCCACGAACAACCUACCUGCUCGAGAAAGAAUCCAAUUAUCGUCAUUGGAGAGCUGAAAUACGCUGUAACCACUAAGAUUGUUUUCCUUUGCAUAAGAAAUCUUAGCCUUGAUAGUCUCCACAUCAUCAAAAUUGAUCCAAAUCGACCCAACAACGACAAGCUUCGUAACAUAGGUAGAAUUGUACACUGCUGCAGCUCCAUAGCCAUAACCUUGAAUGAAAGAUUUAAUAUUCUUAUAACCCAUGGAACCAUCACGUGUUACAGCUGGACCCGAGGAGGGUGCCCCAAACUCUUUUUCGUUGGGGUUCACCAGUGUCCAUGCAUAACCAUGGUAAGGCAAACCCAAAACCAGUUUGCUAGCAGAUAAUCCUCCUCUUAGCCAUUCCUUUAUCCAUUCAUCGGUGUUAACCCAAUUUGAAGUGCCAUAUAAAGCAGCAUGUGCACCAGUAAAAUUAAAUUCUGCAGGCACAUGAUAGUCAUAUGCAACAAGAUGUAUCCAAUCUAAGGUCCUUUUCAUGAUGUCAAUAGGAUAAGUAGCCGAGUGCUGAGCAGGCGAGUAAGUAGCUGACAUUACCAAGAGCAACUGUGACUUGCCAGAUUUUCUUGAAUCAGAAGCUAUAGCGUCUCGCCACUCAUCGAAAAGGAUUCCUAGAUUGGUCAUGUUGAUGCUCAUACUUGGCCCAACCGAAAGGUCUAGGCCAUCAAAACCAUAAAGCCUCGCUGUAUAUAUCGAGGACUCGAUAAAAGACUUUCUAUAAGAAGACUGAUUUAUCAUUGAGGAAAAAGUUGGAAGACCCCCUCUCCUAGCCAAGAUGGAUAGAAGGGUUUUAACUGAAGGGUUCUUAACCCUGACAGUGCCUGUGAAGGUGGAGAAGUAGGAUUCUUUGGAAGAGUUAAUAUGAAUAUGAUAAGUAGAAGAAUUUAUACGAGAAAAGGCACAUACAAGGUGAGUAAAAAGAGCAGAAUUGAUAUUAGAAACGGGCAUUUCACUGAAGGAAUCCCAGUAACCUGCUCUAAUCCAGGUUUCUUGGGAGUUUGAGCUGUGAACAUAGGAAGAUAGAAAGAGAAGGAGGGUGAUGAUCAUAGUGUUGCAAGUCAUUGAAGAAGAAGCUUACUUUCGCAACCCCAGCAGGACUCCUAAUCUGUAUCCGUGAGAAGUGAAACUCUUGGAUCUGGGGCCUCGCAUUUUUCUGAAAGGUUAUUUGUUUGAAGUGUAAUAAACGAGAAUGAUUUGACUCCUGGUAUUUUUAGUCUAUGAUUUUUCCUAGAAGGAACAAUCAAUGUUCAAUUAGGUAUCACCUUGAUCAUGUUGCCAUGUGGUAGGACGAAAAAAAAAAAAAACUAUAAGCUUUUUUAAUAUUUUUUGUUUUGUUUUUAUAAAUGGUUUGGUGGCACCUUGUAGUUGUUAUUGUACAACGCAAUUUCCAGUCAACUUUUACAUCCUAAAAAUUCAACCUUUCUUUUUAAUUUUGUCAAGGAAAGAUUAUUUAUAUCGAUAUUAGAAAAUUCAAGAAAAUUUCUCUUCCAAAAUGACUGGAUUUUGAUGAGAUGUAAAAGUGACGAUCCUAAAAUACCUGAUAGAAAGUCGAGUGAUUUGACCAGCUUAGCGUGUCCACAUUCCAUUGAUUCUGAGUUUUGGGGCUCGUCCAUCCAAAUGAAUCAUUCUUUGCAUUAUCAGGUUAUAGUUUGGAUUGGAACGUGGUGGGAAGGAUAUUUUUUAAAGUAUUUUUUAUAAUAAAAUAUAUUAAAUUGAUAUUUUUUUUAUUUUAUAAAAAUUAUUUUUGAGAUUAGCUUUUUAAAAUGAUUUAAAAUAUAAAAAAAUUAUUUUUUUGUAAAAAAAAUAAUUUCAAACAUUCUCUUAAAGUAUUUUAAAAUUAUCUAUUAUUAGUUUUGAUACUAAAUAAAAAAACUAUUUUUGCUUGUGCUAAGACCCCAGCAAAAGGGGAUGUGCUAGGAAGUUUUCAGUUACUUGUACAAGUAGGUUUUGGCUUGCUCUUUGACAGGUGUCCUAAUUUCCCUCUUCAGAACAGAGAUGCUGAAAUAUCUCGUCUUUCCCCUCUUUUAGCUGUUUGCAGCAUCCAUCUUGUGCAAAAGAAAGCAAGGAAAAUGAUGGAGCCAACAAAAAAAGUCAUAACCGAGCCUGGCUGACAAGAGUCUCAACCGAGGCUGCCAACCACGAGCCCAACCGAGCUUGUCCCAAGCUCAACCUAAUUGUUACAUGCUAAUUUGGGACAAGCUCAACCUAAUUGUUACAUGCUAAUUUUUCACUCCGCGAAUAAACCCGUGUGGCAGCCUAGUUUCUCAUUACACUUAGUUUUUUCUCACCAAUUCCACUCAUAUUUACCUAGUAACUAAGUGUUUCCCUCACACGAGAGAUUUCCCCACUUUCCCAAGUUAAAAGACAAGCGGAAUACACAAGUAGAUUGCAUGCCACAAAGCAAAGCACACCGAGAAUACAAGAAGAACUCUCAUCCUUUAUUUAUCUCGUCAACAAAGGAUUAUAUAAUGAGUAUGUGUGCUAUGCACAAAAAUCAUAUGCUACACAUCCAAACUUACACACGUUAUUUCCUACCUACAAACAAGAGCCGCAACAACUAUUUAUAGCCAAGUAUGUGAGCUGCAAGACACACCCAUGAUGUCUAUUUUUCAAGACAUAGUGGGACACUUUCUCCCCCAUAAUCUCCAUGAUCUUAGAGGCCUAUUUUCCAGUAAAUAGUGGACAGUUACUGCCCAUGAUCCCAUGAUUCAGCAGCUUGUAGAGCAAUCCCCUUGAUAAGCCCCCAUGUUUUUCCCUAUGAUCCCAUGAUCUAGGAAGUCCAUAACUCCCGCUCACCCAUGUUCUUGCAUGCCCACCUGGCAGCCCCAACUAUCAGUUCUUGUUGCGUCAAUUGUUGCGUCAAUUGUUGAGUCACCCGUAUGUCUUGAACAGUCCUUCGUCCAAGUUUUAGAUCGUGUCAAUUCGAACCCAUGACUUGCACAAGUUGUUGCGUGCUGCCGAAUUCACAUUUGCGUGCAGGCUGCCAAUAUCUGUGCUGCAGAAUUCCAUGACAGCCCCAAUUCUCGUCAGCCUAUUUACCUGAUGAGUUUUCCUGUUUGGUCUGGACAUUCCAUCGUCCAGCCCAUGUUUGUCAACAAUCUGCGUUGCUGAUUUUUCUUUGACGAACCUACAACUGCAUAAAUCUGCGUUGCCAAUUUAUUCCACUAUUGGUCUAGCUGUCAGCACUCUUAAACACUGUUUUAGAUAGCCUGUCAAAGCGUGCACCUCGGGCGUAUUUAACCAUGUUACACUAACCCUUUUAUUUUUCAAACGAACCCUUUUUUCCCCAACUCAACCUAAUCCGCUCAUCUUUUAAUCGAAUCCUCUCUUUCUUGGCACAACUUAGCCUUCACGUUUCCCGACCCAACUUUUAUAUUUUGACAGGGAAUUUAUUUCGCAGGCGAGUCAGUUGAAAAGCUAAAAUCUAGUACGAGAAAGUCUCACGACUUCAUAGAAAAAAAAAAGAGAGAGGAAAGAGUGGAACCACAUUCAGGAGACAUCUGUGCUAAUAUUUGACCUGCGGAACUUCUUGAAAGAAGCAUCAUUUGAGAAGUCAGCCACAGCUAUUUUGAUAAAACUUGUUGCGUGGGCUGCAUCCAUAUAAUUCCACGUUCAAGAUUUCAAUCUAGAAAAGGAAUUGGUAACGUGUAGGGUCGCCAGCAUUGUUUCCGUACGUGAAGACUUUUGUGUAAGACUUGUGGUGGCCUUUGAUACGUCGACAGAGCAGUCUAUCAAAGUUUUUUUCAUAUAAAUUUUAUUUUGCUAUGACUGAUGAAUUUUAGCGGUAGCAAAAAUUAAGGUGGCCUGAAAGAGGCAUAUUGCAUGGCAUUAUAGUUAAGUUGCACAUCCUGAAUCAAUUCUUACAGAGGCAAGCCUCGGAGUUGUUUGAUUCCAUUAACAAUGUGCAUGCCGUCAAAACUUUUGCUGUAAAUUUCUGAUAAUAAUCUAGAAAAAACACAACGAGCUUGCUGUUCAAGUCUGUAAACAGAUUUAGCAUUUGCUUCAAGCUUCUGCAAGAAAGUACUUCCUCAUCGCCCGACGACUUGUGAAAUUGUUGCAUCAUCAACUGAACAAAUCUCUAAUUGCAAUUGCUCAGGUCUGUUUUUGUCAUCUUCAUCUGUCUUCACAGAAAAAGCAGGCCUUUUGGGAAUGGUCACAAUGGCAGUUUCGUUUUUGAGCAUUGAAGAAACUUCCACCAUAGACGGCCUAUCAAUAGGAUUUUCUUGGACACAUAGCAGUGCAAUUUGCAAGCAUUUGAUCAAUUUACAAGAGGACAACGUGUCAUCCAGCGAUGGGUCCAUGAUCUCCAUGCCUUUACCAUCUUUCCACAGCUCGUAAGCCUGCAAUUAACAAAAAUCACAAUCAUGCAUGACAAAUGCAAAAUCUAAAAUAUCGUCAGUUGUGUUAUCAAGAAACUUACAUAUUCUAGGAGGCUUAAAUUUUCACCAGAACCAUACAAGGACCAUUCUUCUUGCCGCUUAUGAUAUGCAGUAGUACCACUCCAAAACUGUAAACAUCAGAUUUUAUGGAAUACACGCCGUUUCUGACGUAUUCCGGAGGAACAUAACCGCUGCACAGGAUGAUUUCAUUCACAAUGUUAAGUUUUCAAAAAUAAUCUAUGUAUGAAAUGAACUUGUGCAUGCAUGAUGCUUACUAUGUCCCGACAAGCCGGCUAGUGUUUGCUUCUUGUUCAUCUUUCGUGAAAAUUCUAGCCAUACCAAAAUCAGAUAUCUUAGGCUUCAUAUCCCCAUCCAGUAAAAUGUUGCUGGCUUUCAAGUCUCGAUGGAUAAUUGUCAGUCUCGAAUAUUCUUGGAGGUAUAGAAGGCCUUGAAUUAUCCCUUCAAUGAUUUCUGCCCUUUUCUUCCAAUCCAACAAAUAUCGCCUAAUCGGAUCUGUCAUAUCAGAUAACAUGCAUAAGAAUGUCGGAAAUUGUAAUGCAAUGAAAGACUAGAUCACACUCAAAUCUUUUUUUAUUUCUGUAAAUCCAAGCAUAAAAGGAUGCUGAGUGCUAACCAUAUAGGUAACAGUCCAGGCUUUUUUUUGGCAUGUACUCAUAGACCAGCACCUUCUCUUCUCUGCCAACGCAAAAUCCCAAAACUUUCACGAGAUUUACAUGUUGUAAUCUUGCAGUGAGCAUAACCUCAUUCUUGAAUUCAUCAAAUCCUUGAGUAGAGGAUUUCGAAAGUUUUUUCACUGCUAUUUCUUGUCCACCUGGUAAAACACCCUGGAAAAACAGAAUGUCAUGCUAAUUUCUUUCACUCAAAGACUGAAAUCUGAAUGCUUGAAGAUUGCAAAGGGUUUAGAUUGCAGCAUUUAUAUUAUAUGCUAACUAUAUCUUCUCCUAUAUUUAAGCUACUGGAAAGUUAAAAUAGAAUUGAAGUCUAUCUCUAGUAUACGAGUUUAUCACAAUAUCAGUUUGCAAGUUAUCUUGAAUAUGCCUCCUAUAUCUUCCUGAUUCAACAGUUUGAAAGUUAUCUCCAGUAAAGAUAAGCAUGUCUUAUCCCUGCAAAAGAGAGAGAGUUUUCUAAAUGGCAGGAGACAGGCACUUAAUGACUCCAUUUUCACAAGUGGAACAUUUCUCUAGAAACGCUUACUCACAGUCCAUUCUUGCAAAUGGUUGCAUAUCUCCACGAAUCCUCAACAAAAUAUAGCAUCAUGAGUUGAAGAGUAAUGUCCCAUUGUAAUCUAUAAAGAAUAAUUAGUUAAUUGUAAACAGGGCCAAAUCCACCCUCCCCAAGCUUAUUUUCAAAUUCAAACUGGUAUGUAGCUUUCUCAAUAUCUGCCAAACUAUAUACUAUCAGAUCAGGAUUAUUGCUGUCGAAGUCGCCUGCUGCUGCCGCAUUAUUUACUUUCAACUUUGUUUCUUUACUCUUUGAUUUGAGGAUUCUAAUUCUUAUGAAAUAAAAUGCCAAGCCCAGUAGAAUAAUAACAGCAGCAGUUGUUGUCAAGAUGAUAAUCAAUGUAAGGGAUUUUGGUCGUCCUUCGUGUUUGGGAUCAACCCCUCCACCUGAGUCAACCCCCCCAGCUGAGUCAACCCCCCCAGCUGAGGACAUAAACAUAUUAUGUGAAUUAGUGAUCAGAAUUGUCUGUUUCCAGUAAAUUUUAAAAGAUUAUUCAAGAAUGAUUUAAAAGAAAAUGAUGCAGAUGUUUUGCAUAAAAAAAAAAAAAAUCACAGAUUAUUCAAGGAUGAUAAAUCAUUAUUUUUUGGCCGCCAGAUGGUACCAAUUGUCGAAUUUAUAUAGGCAGACAAUAUCCAACCAUCUAAACACACAAAAGAUUAAAAAAAACUGCAAGUAGGUACACAAUCCUGCAUUAUAUAUGACAAGCCUUAAUGACAAAUAGCUGAUGAUGGCCUUUUGGUUUUACCCUGAAGCAAGUAGGAAUUCAUAAGAAUUCAGAUAAAAAGAAUAUCUGGCAAGAUUCUCUAUAUAUUGCACCUUAACAAUCAAAUUAAUCAAUCAAGGCCAACCUCUUGACAUCAUUGUUAUCACGAUGGUCAAAGAACCAUUUUGUGGCUUAAGAACAUUCCCAUACCUGCUUGAGAGAGUACCCAGUUGUGAUCACCAGAAACUUCCCAUACAAAAUAUCCGAGGAGGGCCUUCUCCUUGGCAUAAGAAACCUUAGUUCUAACAACAUCAACACCAUCAAAACUAAUCCAAGUUGACCCUACGAUGCCGUAAUUUACCACAUAAGUGGAAUUGUAGAUAGGAUCAACUCUUCCGUUUGCUUUGAAAUAAUUAUUGAUAACUUUAUAGCUCAUGGAUCCAUCUUGUGUAACGGCUGGUCCUGUUGCUGGUGCGCCAAUGGCAUUUUCAUUCGGGCUUGCAAGUUUCCACGCAUAACCAUAGAAAGGCAAACCUAAAACCAACUUACUAGCCGGUAAUCCUCCAUUAAUCCAUGCUCUUAUUCCAAAAUCAGUGUUAACAUCACUAUCAGGAUCAUACAAAGCUGCAACAGCAGCAGUGUAGUUAGCCCAUGUAGGCAUGAAGUAGUCAAAAGCCAGCACAUGAGUCCAAUUCAAAUUCUUCCGUAUAGAGUCUAUAGGGAAACUCCCGGAAUCCAGUCUUGGCGAGUACCGAACGGCUGCUGUCAGGAUAAGUUCUGACAGGCUAGAGUUUCUUCCCUCCAAAGCAAUAGCAGCACGCCACUCUUCGAAGAGGGUACCCAUAAUGUCCAUGUUAUCGCUUGUGCUGGCCGAAACCCAGCUGAAGUCUAGCCCUUGAAAGCCAUAAUGCCUCGCUAUUUUUAUUGAGUCAUCUAUGAAAAACUUCCUGCAAGUAGAAUUGCCUGCCAUUGCAGAGAGUGUUGAAUAGUUUGCGCUUCCUCCUCCAAUGGAUAGUAAGGUAGUGAUCGAUGGAUUCUUCUGUUUUACGGUGUUUGUGAAGGCAGAGAAGAGUGGGUCAUCUGAGGAGGAGAUAGACAGGUGAUACGAAGAUGAAUUAAGGCCAGCAAAAGCACAAAUAAGGUGAGUAUAGAGGGUAGAAUUUAUGUCAGAAAUUGGGAGGUCACUGCCAGAAAACCAAUAGCCAGCUUUGAUCCAUGCUUGUGCUUUUGCAGGAUGCAAUUUUAAAGAGAGAAAUACAUGAAAGAGGAUGAUGAUAGUAAUUCUCGAUACCAUUGGAGCUUGCUUGAUAAAAAUACAAGGAAGGCAAAUGUACAAAGACAAAAGCAUGUAAAUGUUCCAGUCAGGACUCGGUUCUCAAUGCCACCGUUACCGCGUUCCCGUAUGUCACGGUUCCGCCAUGCUUUUUUAUUUUAUUUUUUAAAAACAUUUAAAUUAGUAUUUUUUUAAAUGUUUUUUAAUUGUCUUAAUUUAUUGAUUUCAAUAAUAAAAACAUUUUAAAAAAAAAUAUUAUUUUAAUAUAUUUUAAAAUAAAAAAUAUUUUAAAAAAUAAUAUUUACUAAACUAUCAAACUUGCUUUAAACUAGACUCCAUUAAAACUUUGUAUUUUCUAUUUUAAAAAAUAAAAUAAUUUUAGUUUUAUUUUAAAAUAAAAUUUUAAAAAAUGUUGUUAACUCAAAUGAAACUUAAUUAAGACACCUCAAUCGUUACCAAAUCGUUUUAGAAACUUGAAAUUGUAAUAACGGUGAUAGUUUAAAAUAUUUUUUGUUUAAAAAUAUAUCAAAAUAAAAAAAAAAAUAUUUUUUUAAAAAUAUUUUUGACAUUAGUAUAUUAAAAUAAUUUUAAAAAAUAUAAAAAAAUUUAAAUAUAAAUAAUUUUAAAAAUAUAGGUGUGUUCAGGAUGCAAUUUCAAUUUUAAAAUAUAAUUUCGAUAGAAAUAAUAGUUUUUCAAAAAUGUAUUAAUGAUAAUAAUAUUUUUUAAUUUUACCCUUCAAAUUAAAUCUAUGGUUGCUUUUCAAUAUUGAUAAUAAUAUUUUUCAAAUUUAUUGAUUAUUUUAUUAAUAAUAUUAUUUAAAAUACAAAUAAAAAUGUUUUUAAUAAUAAAAAUAAUAAUAUUUAUAGAACAAAUAAUAAUAUUUUUUAUAUUAAUACUUUUAAUUAUAAUACAAAUAAUAAUAUUUAGAAAUUUAAGACUCAAGAACCUUGGAUCCUAACACUGCACCCAAGAGAAUUGAAUCUUGAUGCAGGACCCAUUAGUCUUGGGUCGUGACAAUGGACCCAACAGAAUUAGAUCCUGACAAUGAAUCCAAGAGAAUUAGGUCCUGAAAAAGCACAUAAGAGAAUUGUGUACCGCGAUCGUGUUUGCAGACCCAAGGUGCAUGGGUCUUGCCAUAAUGACCAAUGCAUGGUAACCCCAGCGCCAGGUGUCUACACCCUCAGGCAUGCUAGGAUACAGGGCCCAACAUUGUUGGGUCCUAAUUUUAAGGCAGGGCCUAAAGAAUGUGCGUCCUUCUCGAGGUCGGGCCUAAUAUUGUUGAACGCAGCUACGACCUUCUGCUGAGGCAAGCCCAGAACACAUUAGCUUUAAGUCUUGUAACCAAGCAGGAUCCAAUAACGUUAGGCCUCAUUGUCCUAUUGGAUAUAAGAUCCAUGGCUAUUGGGUUCGGUUGUGUAUCAGCACCUAACACUAUUGGUUCCUACUGGGCAGCAAUUCCUACCUCCAGCAGGAAAUUUAAAUUUUAAAAAAUAUGUUGAGAUAAUUUUUUUAUUUUUUAAAAUAUAUUUUUUAUAUCAUCAAAUACAAAUAAUACAAAAACAUCAAAAAAAUAUUAAUUUAAAUUAAAUAAAAAUGUUAAAAAAUUGAAAAAACUUUAAGCAUUUUUUAAUCGAAAAAACAAACAUUCUUUAAUAAAAAAAUUCAACCCAACCUGAAAUGAAAAACAAUUAUCAUAACCCAUCUUUUGCACAAUAUAAAAAAAAAGUCUCAUUAAUUUAUUUCUUCUUUACCGUAUGAAAAAUAAAAUUAAAUCAGAGAAAAGAGAAGAAACCUUAGACCCAGUGAUAUUGGAAAUAUCCUAAAAUAUUUUUAAAAAAAAAACAUGUAUUGAGAUGAUAUUAUUUUUUUUUGUAAAAUCUAUUUUUUAUAUCAUCACAUCAAAAUAAUACAAAAACAUCCAAAAAUAUUUAUUUGAAGUAAAGAAAAAAAAUACCAAAUUCUUUUUAAACAUUUUUUGAAAAGCAAAAACAAACAUGUUUUAAUAAAAAAAUUCAACCCAACCUCAAAUGAAAAACUAUUAUCACCAGCCAACUUUUGUACAAUAUCAAAAAAGUCUCAUCAAUUUAUUUCCUCUUUACAGCAUGGAAAAAAAAUUAAAUAAGAAAAAAGAAAAAUAAUUUAAAGAUAAAAAAAAAUAAAAUUGAAAAUAUCUUAAAGAUGAAAAAAAAUUGGAAAUCCUAAACCCAAUGAUAUUGCCAAGCCAGACCCAAUAUCUAAAAAAAAAAAUUAGAAAUAUCUUAAAAUAUUUUUGUAAGAAAAUAUAAUGAAAUAAUAUUUUUUAUUUUGUAAAAUCUUUUUUUUUUAUAUCAUCACAUAAAAAUAAAAAAAAAAACAUCAAAAAAAUAUUAAUUUGAAUUAAAGAAAAAGGUUAAAAAUUUUGAAAUGAUUUUUUAAGCAUUUUUUAAACGAAAAAACAAACUUGUUUUAAUAAGGAAGUUUAACCCUAUCUUAAAUGAAAACAAAUUAUCAUCACCUAACUUUUGUACAAUAUAAAAAAUAUCUCACCAAUUUUAUUUUUUUUACCAUAUGAAAAAUAAAAAAAAUUAGAGAAAAAAAAAAUCACAAACCAAAUAUCCUUGGGUAUGGUUGCGCAGCCAAACCCAAGGAUAUUGGGUCUGGCUGCCCAACCAGGCCCAAGAUCGAUAUAUCUUUUGGAAUUGAUUUGGGUCCAACUGGCCAACCAAUCCCAACAUUAUUAUGUUAUAUUAGGCAACAAGAUCCAAUGUUAUUGACACCUUUUGGAAGUGUUUUGGGUCUAGCUUAGUAGCUGGUUGUAGGGUCCAGCGGCCAAGUCAUACCCAACAACUUUUGGUACAGAAGGUAAUGCCCCUAGCUGUAAUUCUUAACUAAAAAUGCAACUUCUUGACUAAAAACACAACAAAGGUAAUGCCCCUUUAGAGUGUUAUAGUGUCGUCUGCAGUGCAAUGUAUUUGUGUCCACAGUAAAUGCAUAAUAUUCCCACCCCCUGUGUUUUAAUACAUAGCAAAACCCAAACAAUGCAAUACACAAUUAAAUCACUCACAAUCUACAGUAAUUCACUAAUUGUUUUUAGGUUUUUUUAUAAUAUGAACACAUGUAAGUUGUGUGUGGAAAUUUAUGCCAUUUGAUUUUGCUAGUAUCAUAUUAGACCUGAUAAAGCUAUAAAAAUCACAGGGAAUAUUAUAGAAGAAAUUAUUUCUAGAGAUCCCUGUAGAUCAUUCAUAAUGUAUUCUACGACCUUCACUUUUCAGAUUGUAUCAGCUUCCUCUUUAAUAAAUAUCUUAUGGGGUUGUAAAUCUUCUCUUAAAUGAAUGCUUGCAUAAAGUCUUUUAGAGAUCCCUAACGGUGUUGCUAGAAGACCCUUCAAAGAUCGAGUCAGUACGAUGUAUUUUGUAUGAUAAAAAGAUAUUAGUAAAGGUAUUAAUGAGCUUUUGUAAAGAUAAAAAAGAAAAAGGAGAAGAAGAUGUAGAUGUAGAUGUAAGGGAAGAAGAGAAUAAAUGUGUUCAUGUCUAAGAGCAUAAGGUUUCGAACCCCUUUUUUGUGUACUCAAGCUUCCUUUUAUACUACAUGUCUUGACUUGCUUCAUACGAUAUGUUAGGGGUAGAAAUGUAAUCUCGUAAUGAUAGAAUAAUAUUAUUAUAUUGUUGAUACUAUCACAUCUCAUUAAUAUAAGCAUGAACUACUUGUUCAUAAUUAAUUGGAUGUGAUGAGUAUCAUAAUCACUAGCCCAGACCUAGAGUAAGGGAGGCUUAGAGUAAGGUUACUUUUCAGCUAUACGCUAAACUUAGAUGCAUUUGGGUUCAGUUUGUACAUUCAACUCAAGUGUAUUCGGGUUCAGCAGUACGCCAAAUUCAAUAGGAGUUGGGCUCAGCAUGACGUUGAACCCAAGAGGAAUUGGAUUCAGCGGUACGACGAUCUCAAUAGGAGUUGGGUUCAGCUUUAACCCGAACCCAAGAGAAAUUGGGUCCAAUUAUACACUGAACCCAAGAGGAAUUAGGCGCAUACAUGCCUCAUCCCAACUAGAGUUGGGCGUGAACUUGUCCUAACUCAACUUAGAGUUGGACGUGGAUGCAUCCGGGCCCAACUUUAAGUUAGGCAUGAACAUGUCACAGCUCAAUUUAGAGUUGAAGCUAAACGUAUUCUGCUCCAAUACAAGAUUGGGUGUAGAGAAAACAUAACUUAAUUUUAUAUUCAGAUUUUCAUGUGAUGUGAUGGUGGGAGGUUUUUAGAAAACCAUGACCCAUCAAGCCAUAGAGACCAAACAGCACGGCUGAGAGAAAAAGGCAGGCAAUUACGUGGAGAUGGAGUGUGGGGGCCAGGGUCAUAUCAAUUGCAAUUACUUCUUGGUAGGUUUUGUUUUGUUUCUUCAGAUUUCUAGAUUCAACAUUAAAGGUUCUUAUAAGAAAACAUUGCCAGCCCUCUUGUUUUCUUGGUCUAGCUUGGGCUAAAUGUCAAGGAAAGGGGUAGCUGUCUCCCUUAAUUUCUAGACUCAACAUCAAACGUUCUUAUAUAUAUAUAUAUAUAUAUAUAUAUAUAUAAAGUCCUAAUUUGGCCCCUUUUCAUUGUUCUCCUUCGCAGUUUUCUCAUGAUUUUGAGACAAUUUAAUCGCAAACCAACAUAGAGAUGCAAAAAUAGAAGUGCCCCUAGCUAGAUCAUUUGUAAUUCCAGAAAGGUAAGAAGUUAAUUUUGAAACAGUAAAUCUUUUUAAUUAGUGUGGCUUAUAUAUCCAUGUUUAAUAACUUACUUAAAUAAUUUUUUUAUAAUUAAAUGAUAGAAUAAACAUAUAUGUAGACAAUUAAUUUUAAAAUUAAUUGUUUAUAAUAGUGUUUUUCUUAUUUUGUUAAGCCAGGUGAUAUUUUAUAGUACUUUUUUAAAUAAAUAAGUAUUAAUUAUUAAUUGUUUCCAUAAAAAGUAUGAAAUAUUUAUCUUAAAUUAAUUUAUUAUCCUCUAUUUAUAAAUUAGAUGACCACAUGAGAAUUUUUUAUUUUUUUUGAAAAAGUGUAGGUUGAAGAAGACUUAAUUUGAUUUGAUCCGACAGAUAUAUGUAACUUUAAACCAUUAAUGUCUUAGAGAUCUACAAAUAUAAUAACUUAAAGUACACAAACUUAUCAUGGCUCAGAUAAUUGCAAUUUUACUACCUGAGACAUUUAUUUUUCUCAUUUCAGUAUAUUGUGUUUUUCAAUUUCACCAAAAAUAGAAUUUUCAAAUUAAAAUUCUUUGGUAAAAAUAAAUUCAAAUUAUGCAGCUCUUUGGUAAGAAGAAGACGAAGAAGAAGAAGAAGAAGAAGACAGUACUGUAAUAUCCGCAAUCAUUCAUUUUUGUCAUUAUCAACACUUAAACCUCCUUGUUGGCCAAUGCAAGAGAUAUUAAUACUAGUCGUUGGCCAUAUAAUUCCACGUUCAAGAUUUCAAUCUAGAUAAGGAAUUGAUAACUUGUAGGGUCGCCAGAAUUGUCUUAGUACGUGAAGACUUUUGUGUAAGACUUGUGGUGGCCUUUGAUACGUCGUCAGGAGCAGUCUAUCAAAGUUUUUUUCAUAUAAAUUUUAUUUUGCUAUGACUGAUGAAUUUUAGCGGUAGCAAAAAGGUGGCCUGAAGGAGGAAUUUGAGUCCUAGCAAAAAGGGAGAGCCGAACCCGAAUCUUUAUCGUUAAAUAUCACAACUAAAAUGCAAAUAUAUAAUCAUACACCUUUAUUUCGACAUUAUAACUUUACGUAUAGCAAGUUGUCCCAACACAUGAAGCCAGUGAGCAAAUUUAUUCAGAACUAACUGCUUAGUGGAAAGAGGCAUAUUGCAUGGCAUUAUAGUUCAGUUACGGAGUUGUUUGAUAAUAAUCUAGAAAAAACACAACGAGCUUUGCUGUUCAAGUCUGUAAACAGAUUUAGCAUUUGCUUCAAGCUCCCGCAAGAAAGUACUUCCUCAUCGCCCCACGACUUGCGAUAUUGUUGCAUCAUCAACUGAACAAAUCUCUAAAUGCAAUUGCUCAGGUCUGUUUCCGUCGUCUUCAUCUGUCCUCACAGAAAAAGCAGGCCUUUUGGGAAUGGUCACAAUGGCAGUUUCGUUUUUGAGCAUUGAAGAAACUUCCAGCAUAGACGGCCUAUCAAUAGGAUUUUCUUGGACACAUAGCAGUGCAAUUUGCAAGCAUUUGAUCAAUUUACAAGAGGACAAUGUGUCAUCCAGCGAUGGAUCCAUGAUCUCCAUGCCUUUACCAUCUUUCCACAGCUCGUAAGCCUGCAAUUAACAAAAAUCAUAAUCAUGCAUGACAAAUGCAAAAUCUAAAAUAUCGUCAGUUGUGUUAUCAAGAAACUUACAUAUUCUAGGAGGCUUAAAUUUUCACCAGAAUCAUACAAGGAGCCAUUCUUCUUGCCGCUUAUGAUAUGCAGUAGUACCACUCCAAAACUGUAAACAUCAGAUUUUAUGGAAUACACGCCGUUUCUGACGUAUUCCGGAGGAACAUAACCGCUGCACAGGAUGAUUUCAUUCACAAUGUUAAGUUUUCAAAAAUAAUCUAUGUAUGAAAUGAAUUUGUGCAUGCAUCAUGCUUACUAUGUCCCAACAAGCCGGCUAGUGUUUGCUUCUUGUUCAUCUUUUGUGAAAAUUCUAGCCAUACCAAAAUCAGAUAUCUUAGGCUUCAUAUCCCCAUCCAGUAAAAUGUUGCUGGCUUUCAAGUCUCGAUGGAUAAUUGUCUGUCUCGAAUAUUCUUGGAGGUAUAGAAGGCCUUGAGUUAUCCCUUCAAUGAUUUCUGCCCUUUUCUUCCAAUCCAACAAAUAUCGCCUAAUCGGAUCUGUCGUAUCAGAUAACAAACUAUCAAGGCUAUAAGCAUUUUAGAUCUUACUGACACGAACAUGCAUAAGAAUGUUGGAAAUUGUAAUGCAAUGAAAGACUAGAUCACACUCAAAUCUUUUUUUAUUUCUGUAAAUCCAAGCAUAAAAGGAUGCUGAGUGCUAACCAUAUAGGUAACAGUCCAGGCUUUUUUUUGGCAUGUACUCAUAGACCAGCACCUUCUCUUCUCUGCCAACGCAAAAUCCCAAAACUUUCACGAGAUUUACAUGUUGUAAUUUUGCAGUGAGCAUAACCUCAUUCUUGAAUUCAUCAAAUCCUUGACUAGAGGAUUUCGAAAGUUUUUUAACUGCUAUUUCUUGUCCACCUGGUAAAACACCCUGGAAAAACAGAAUGUCAUGCUAAUUUCUCAAAGACUGAAAUCUGAAUGCUUGAAGAUUGCAAGGGGUUUAGAUAAGAAGAAUUUUAAUGAGUAUUCGGUAUAUUUUCAUCACAACAGAAAAAGAAUUGUUACAUCAUUUAUAUUAUAUGCUAACCACAACUACCUCCUAUAUCUUCUCCUAUAUUUAAGCUACUGGAAAGUUAAAAUAGAAUUGAAGUCUAUCUCUAGUAUACGAGUUUACCACAAUAUCAGUUUGCAAGUUAUCUUGAAUAUGCCUCCUAUAUCUUCCUGAUUCAACAGUUUGGAAGUUAUCUCCAAUAAAGAUAAGCAUGUCUUAUCCCUGCAAAAGAGAGAGAGUUUGUUGGGAAAUCCGUCGACCGGUGAUGUACUGAUUAUUACUCAUAUGAAGGGUAAGCACACUGACACAAUAUUUUACGUUGUUCGGCAAAUCGCCUACAUCCACGGAAAAGACAAUAUUAUUAGUGAUAUAUAGAGAAAGGAUUACAACACACAUGGAGGAGGAGGAUCACUUCACUCACUCUACUCACUGCUCUUACAGCUGCAAUGGCUGCAGGGCUACUGCCCAUGGCAGCAGCUCUUUCUCUCCUCUUUCUCUUCACACUCUCUGCGUUCUCUCACUCUCUCAUUACUCUCAAAUAAUUAUGCCUCUUUUAUAGGCAUUUCAUGGUCAACAUGGAGGGGCCAAUACUGCCUUAAAACAUGGCAUGAAUUAUGGCAUAAUUCAUGCUCCCACUUGUACAAGUUGUAGUGGAGUAGUUACCACAAUAAUGACAACUUCCUAACAAUCACCCCCUUUGCCAUUUAUGUGGGCAGUUGUCCUCUUGAUUCUUCAGCAUAAGCUUGCAUCUUGCAGCUCUUCCACGCUUACCAUUCUAAGAGCGUCUGUGGCCAAGUUUACAGGUACUCGCGCAACCUUUCAAUCACCAGAGUCACCAAAGCACACCCUUGCUUACACCAAAGGAUCACUUCAACCAGAUGGUCUCACACAUCACAUCUGAAGAGUGUUCGCGUUUGUCUCUAGGAUACAACAUUCCCCUUUGAGCGUAUCAUCCAUGCUCGGUCCGGAAUGAUUCACCAAGCCUCACACCAAGGCUUACAACACCCCCUCAAACGGAUAUUCCAAGUGCGACAAUCAUUAUCUGAGUAUCUCAAUAUGAUCACUAGCUCACCACUCUUCUAAGAGUCUACUCAUCCUGGAGUUGCGCCUGCCCUCUGUUCCACCGUAGGAACCACACCUUACUUCUCCGUGAGUCUCUCACUCUUAGUCUCAAGAGUCCAGGUAGCUAUCCACCUUUAACCAUGGGGGCAGCCCAUUAAAGGUUGAUCCAUAUAUGUCUUGAUACUGUGAGUAUUACAAUGCCUUCACCGAGCUCACCACCUUGACAAGAGUCGACUUGUUCCCGGAACCUGCGCAUGCCCUCUGCUCCUUCAUAGCAGUCGCGUCUUAAUGCUCCACAAGUCAUCCACUUAUUGUCCAAGACAAAUGUCUUCUAGCUCAUUGAUCUUUAGCAUGGGGACAAUAUCCAUGAAAGUCAAUCCUGCAUUUGUCUCCAUACUCAUCAUAGUCACUCCAUUGACUAUACACCUAUCCACUUAUGUCUAGCCAUCACAUUGGCUCUAGGGCGUUCUGAACUGGGGCUCCUAUCCUGGCCCUCACACCUUCCUCUAAGGUGUCUCCGCCUGUUGUCAUGGGGCGGUCUCAUCCUCCUUCAUCGGGAUGACUCCAGUGGCUCCAAGAUUCUCUACCACCAUGUGGACUUGGGAGAGAUUACUGCCACUGAUUAUAUAGAAAGAGAAAGUUGCGGCAUACUCCUCGCAAGAUGGGGCGGUCUCAUCCUCCUUCAUCGGGAUGACUCCAGUGGCUCCAAGAUUCGCUACCACCAUGUGGACUUGGGAGAGAUUACUGCCACUGAUUAUAUAGAAAGAGAAAGUUGCGGCAUACUCCUCGCAAUCCUCCACCUCGAUUUCUAUGUAUGGAGCUUCUACGCCUUUCUACUUGACAGCUCCACCUACACCAAUUCUCUUUGAUGUCUUCGCCUUUCAUCAUAGGUGUUUGCACCCCCUCAAUUAGGUGCCUCUACAACAGCUCAUCUUUCCAUCCUUGCAUGCAUUGGAAAGGUCCUUGCUUGUUGCCUUUAUCAAGAGCACAAGAGACUUCCUGUUGUACAUCCUUCACAUAGUCUCUGCUCUGAGCUUCAUCUGGGAACUCUUCUUCUCCUUGCACUUAUUGUCUCAUAACAGUACCUCGUUGGAUCCUUCGGGUACUCUUGCACAAUCUCCGUGUGCCCUCGUGCAAUUUCUGUUCUCCAGAUUUCUCCAUAUUCCUUGCUUAUGUUUGACAGCAGCUCAUCCCGUCACAACACCUGACCAAGUCAAAAUAGGGUGUCAAUCUUUAUCCCCUUGCUGUAUUUCUCUUCCAUUAUCAGGGUCUUCAUCAAUCUCCCCUCGAGAAAUUAUAGUCACCGAAUCUAACUUCUUUGGAGAAAUCACCACUCCAUCAGAUCCUUGAUCAUACGGAACCCAACUGUUCCUUUGUGCCGUCGUCUUGCUAGUCUUCAACAGUUUCAUAACAAACUGUUACAUAUACGAAAAUAGUACCGUAUGGAUAAUCCUUCCACUAAGCAAGUUCCCAGGAAAGAUUGGAGGGGUCACACUCCUAAACAGAACUUCUUAGGCCAUAUCUAUCCAUUGUAUUGUCUUUUUGUAUAUACAACCAUUUGCUAGCUUUGUUGCGGCUUUCCUUUACAAGUGAUCUGGGUAUCCUGGUUUCAUACCUGAUUUCUCAACAUCUGGCGAGACUACCGGUGCUUAGAUUCAUCAAGAUUGGUCUUCGUCAAUUUUCACUCUCCACCUCUAAUUGUCCAUAUGACCAGGUGUCCAGAGUGUCCCAAUUUUACCUUCCAUCAAGGCAAUAAAUUUCCCCAUUUAGUAGUUCAGCACAUGUAAUUGGGCAAACAUGUGCACCUUCUUUUUCUUCAUCUCCAUCGACCUCAAUCCAGACCCUCAGAUGCCUCCUGAUCGGGCAAUCUAUCAUUAAUAAUACACCACUGCCAUUUUUGGUCUCGAAUUUCAACGAUCGGAUCGUACCAUUGCAUCCGGAAUGAUCAAAUUAGCUGGAAACAUGUCUUGAAUCGUCCAAAUCGCACUUCAGACGGCUAAGAUUUGAUCAAAACAAUUUUGCCCUAAUUAACGGCUCAGAUUCAAUCUCAGCUUUGGUUGCACGUAGGAUCAGCUACACUGGAUCCUAUCCCUCGGCUCGGCUCCAUCAGCUCGGCUCCACUUGGCUCAGCUCCAUCGGCUCGGCGCACGCUGCUGACAUGGCAUGUGGGCCCACUAUGUUGACGUCACCAUUACAUCAUGCUGAUGUCAUCAUGGGCCAUGCUUACUGUGCAUGAUGACAUCACAAAUACAUCAUGCGGAUGUCAUCCUUAUUCGGGUCAGCCACGUGGGUCGGGUCGGCCCGAGCGAAGAAGACGCGUGUGACACGUGGCGCAAGUCUGCGCGUGUGGGCAGCGACCUCGUCGGCGCGUGAAGAAGAGUCCGACCUCUGAUUUCGACGUCGUAUUCACCAGUGGCUUCGUCUCUUCCUCCUCUACACGGUGGUAUGGUCAAAACACAAUUUUGGCAACUUUAAUUUUUUAGCAAAAAUCAAACACCACUUAAACCAUAUGCUCUGAUACCAAUUGUUGGGAAAUCCAUCGACCGGUGAUGUACUGAUUAUUGCUCAUAGGAGGGGUAAGCACACUGACACAAUAUUUUAUGUGGUUCAGCAAAUCGCCUACAUCCACGGGAGAGACAAUAUUAUUAGUGAUAUAUAGAGAAAGGAUUGCAACACACAUGGAGGAGGAGGAUCACUUCACUCACUCUACUCACUGCUCUUGCAGCUGCAAUGGCUGCAGGGCUACUGCCUAUGGCAGCAGCUCUUUCUCUCCUCUUUCUCUUCACACUCUCUGCGUUCUCUUACUCUCUCAUUACUCUCAAAUAAUUAUGCCUCUUUUAUAGGCAUUUCAUGGUCAACAUGGAGGGGCCAAUACUGCCUUAAAACAUGGCAUGAAUUAUGACAUAAUUCAUGCUCCCACUUGUACAAGUUGUAGUGGAGUAGUUACCACAAUAAUGGCAACUUCCUAACAGAGUUUUCUAAAUGGCAGGAGACAGACACUUAAUGACUCCAUUUUCACAAGUGGAACAUGUCUCUAGAAAUGCUUACUCACAGUCCAUUCUUGCAAAUGGUUCCAUAUCUCCAUGAAUCCUCAACAAAAUAUAGCAUCAUGAGUUGAAGAGUAAUGUCCCAUUGUAACCUAUAAAGAAUAAUUAGUUAAUUACCUUGUAAACAGGGCCAAAUCCACCCUCCCCAAGCUUAUUUUCAAAUGCAAACUGGUCUGUAGCUUUCUCAAUAUCUGCCAAACUAUAUACUAUCAGAUCAGGAUUAUUGCUGUCGAAGUCGCCUGCUGCUGCCGCAUUAUUUACUUUCAACUUUGUUUCUUUACUCUUUGAUUUGAGGAUUCUAAUUCUUAUGAAAUAAAAUGCCAAGCCCAGUAGAGUAAUAACAGCAGCAGUUGUUGUCAAGAUGAUAAUCAAUAUACGGGAUUUUGGUCGUCGUUCGUGUUUGGGAUCAACCCCUCCACCUGAGUCAACCCCCCCAGCUGAGUCAACCCCCCCAGCUGAGGACAUAAACAUAAUAUGUGAAUUAGGGAUCAGAAUUGUCUGUGUCCAGUAAAUUUUAAAAGAUUAUUCAAGGAUGAUAAAAGAUUAUUCAAGAAAGAUUUAAAAGAAAAUGAUGCAGAUGUUUUGCAUAAAAAAAUGUAAUCACAGAUUAUUCAAGGAUGAUAAAUCAUUAUUUUUUGGCAGCCAGAUGGUACCAAUUGUCGAAUUUAUAUAGGCAGACAAUAUCCAACCAUCUAAACACACAAAAGAUUAAAAAAAACUGCAAGUAGGUACACAAUCAUGCAUUAUAUAUGACAAGCCUUAAUGACAAAUAGCUGAUGAUGGCCUUUUGGUUUUACCCUGAAGCAAGUAGGAAUUCAUAAGAAUUCAGAUAAAAAGAAUAUCUGGCAAGAUUCUCUAUAUAUUGCACCUUAACAAUCAAAUUAAUCAAUCAAGGCCAACCUCUUGACAUUAUUGUUAUCACGAUGGUCAAAGAACCAUUUUGUGGCUUAAGAACAUUCCCAUACCUGCUCGAGAAAGUACCCAGUUGUCAUCAUGAGGGACUUCCCAUACAACAUAUCCGAGGAGGGCCUUCUCCUUGGCAUAAGAAACCUUUGUUCUAACAACAUCAACACCAUCAAAACUAAUCCAAGCUGACCCUACGAUGCCGUAAUUUACCACAUAAGUGGAAUUGUAGAUAGGAUCAACUCUUCCGUUUGCUUUGAAAUAAUUAUUGAUAUCUUUAUAGCUCAUGUAUCCAUCGUUUGUAACGACCGGUCCCGUUGCUGGUGCGCCAAUGGCAUUUUCAUUCGGGUUUGCAAGUUUCCACGCACAACCAUAGAAAGGCAAACCUAAAACCAACUUACUAGCUGGUAAUCCUCUAUUAAUCCAUGCUCUUAUUCCAAAAUCAGUGUUAAGAUCACUAUCAGGAUCAUACAAAGCUGCAGAAGCAGCAGUAAAGUGAUCCCGUGUAGGCAUGUAGUAGCCAUAAGCCAGUACAUGAAUCCAAUUCAAAUUCUUCCGUAUAGAGUCUAUAGGGAAACUCCCGUGAUCCAGUCUUGGCGAGUACUGAACGACUGCUGUCAGGAUGAGUUCUGACAGGCUAGAGUUUCUUCUCUCCAAAGUAAUAGCAGCACGCCACUCUUCGAGGAGGGUACCCAUACUGUCCAUGUGAUCGCUUGUGUUGGCCGCAAGCCAGGUGCAGUCUAGCCCUUGAAAGCCAUAAUGCCUCGCUAUUUUUAUUGAGUCAUCUAUGAAAGACUUCCUGUAAGUAGAAUUGCCUGCCAUUGCAGAGAAUGUUGAAUAGUUUGUGCUUCCUCCAAUGGAUAGUAAGGUAGUGAUCGAUGGAUUCUUCUGUUUUACGGUGUUUGUGAAGGCAGAGAAGAGUUGGUCAUCUGAGGAGGAGAUAGACAGGUGAUACGAAGAUGAAUUAAGGCCAGCAAAAGCACAAAUAAGGUGAGUAUAGAGGGUAGAAUCUAUGUCAGAAAUUGGGAGGCCACUGCCAGAAUACCAAUAGCCAGCUUUGAUCCAUACUUGUGCUUUUGCAGGAUGCAAUUUUAAAGAGAGAAAUACAUGAAAGAGGAUGAUGAU
rnacentral:lncRNA from 1 species